GACGAACGCUGGCGGCGUGCUUAACACAUGCAAGUCGGACGGAAAGGCCCUGCUCUUGUGGCGUGCACGAGUGGCGAAAGGGUGAGUAACACGUGAGUAACCUGUCCCUGACUUUGUGAUAACUUCAGGAAACUCGGGCUAAUACACGAUAGGAGCUCCUGCAGCAUGGUGGGGGUUGGAAAGUUUCGGCGGUUGGGAAUGGACUCGCGGCUUAUCAGCUUGUUGGUAGGGUAGUGGCUUACCAAGGAUUCGACGGGUAGCCGGCCUGAGAGGGUGACCGGCAACAUAGGGUCAAGGAGACCGCCAAGAGCCCUACGGGUGGCAGCAGUGAGAAAUAUAGGGCAAGGCGCGGCAGCCUGAUGCAGCAUCGCCGCGUGCGGGAUGACUGCCAUCGGGGUGUAACCCACGUUUACCUGAGUCUAAGCGUGAGGAAGGGUAAUGGGUAGAGAAGCACCGGCUACCUACUU
rnacentral:rRNA from 1 species